rnacentral:lncRNA from 1 species
UUCUGUUGAUUUAAAGCAGAGUCUGGUUGCCAGCGGAAGGAUGAGGAAAAUGUGCUGCAUACUCCUUUAUUGCUUUAUUUACAGUUCAAAGCUGGUAUAUUACAGAAAGACAUCUUGCCUCUGCCGGAGCAGAGAAAUGCAUCCUCUCUCCUCAACAGCUCGGAGAGAAACACAGAGUGAAAAAACAGGAAACCAGUGUACGUCACAUCCAGUCUCCCUUUCCCGUGAGAAACUCCAACAGUACCUCUGACUGUGGAAUGCAAAACAAUGUCUUGUGACUGCAGUUGCUGCUCAGUGAGGGAAAUAGAAACCAACAUCCUCCCCCUUUCUGUGAACAUCACUGGGCAGCGUGUUCGUACAAUAUCAGUACAAACCCAACUUCUGCACAUAGGUACAGUGUUGAUCCCUUGAUACAAUCUUGGACAAUACAUCAGCAGGAAUUUCAUUACCUGGCAUAUAGGACACCGUUACGAGUCCCUUCUGAAUACAUUCCCUAGCAUGCUGCAACUUUAAUUGCAAGUGCUUUGUGCUUUGCUUACAACCUUCAGACUUCAGCAAAGCCAAACAUGCUUUGUUGUCCUGGUAAACCUGGAUUGGACAUUUGACAGGAAUUUUCAUAUCUUUGCACAAUUGUACUAACCAUUCACAAUCCUUAAGUGAAUAAGACAGUGCAUUCAGUUCAGCUUCACAAGUACUUAAGCUAACUGUUGUUUGCUUCUUGCAUGACCAAUCAAACAGACUCUGAUUGUACAUGUAGCAAACUCCAGACGUACUUUUCCUGUCUGUAGCGUCACUUCCAAAACUUGCAUCUGCAAAUAUCUCAAGACCACCAGACUUCUGAUUGUUAAAUCUCAGUCUGUAAUGCAUAGUGCCUUUCAAAUACCGCGCUAUGCGUUUCAGAGCUUUCCAAUCCUUGACACUAGGAUUGUUGACUUGUCUGCUUAGCAAAUUACAGCUAACAGCAAUGUCUGGUCUUGAACAUCUGGCAAUGAAGUUUAGCUUGCCUAGCACACUCCUGUACAGUGUAGUGUCAGAAAAUGCUUCUUCAGUGUCAUCUACCUGAUAACCUGUUGUCAUCGGUGUGUCUACAGGGUUAGCAUCCAUCAGAUUUAGUUUGCUUAACACAUCAGCAAUUUUCCGUGACUGGUGUACUAGAAUGUUACCAUCUUGAUCUCUCUCUAUUUCCAGAGAUAGGUAGUUGUUUACCUCACCAAGAUCUUUCAUGUCAAAGUGCUCUUUCAGUUGAGCUAGGGCGCUAUUGUACAUUGCAACAUCUUUCCAAAAGAAUAAUAAAUCAUCAACAUAAAACAAACAGUACAGUUUCUUUUGCCCCUCCUCUUUGACAAAUACACAUGGAUCAGCUUUCCCUUGCUGAAAACCUAGAGAAAACAAUACUUCAGUGAGUUUUGUGUGCCAACACCGUGCACUUUGUUUGAGACCAUAAAGGGAUUUCUUCAGAGCACAAACAAAUCCCUGUUUUACCUGUACGCCAUCAGGUGGAAGCAUAUAAAGUGAUUCAUCUAGAGAUCCGUACAGAAAAGCUGUAUUAAUAUCAUGGUGACUAAUGUGUAGAUUUUCCUCUGCAGCUAGCUUAAGCAUAAGCCUAAUGCUUUCAUAUCUCACUGUGGGUGAAUAGGUCUCGUGAUAGUCUUCACCUGGUACCUGUGCAAAACCUCUGGCUACCAAUCUGGCUUUGUGUCUGACUAUCUUGCCAUUUUGAUCUGUCUUCGCUUUGAAGACCCAUUUGCUUCCAAGCAGUUUCAUUCCUGGAACUACUGGAACUAGCUCCCAUGUUUUGUUCCUUUCUAAGGAAUCAAGCUCAGCCUUCAUGGCAUUUAACCAUGGCUCAGCUUCCUUUGAAUCCAAACCCUGGAUUUCUUGGAAACUUGAAGGUUCAAAUACCUUCUUGGAGCUUUUAACAGCUGUUACUGCUAUCUUAGCAAACUCAUCAGCAAAUCUCUUUGGAGGUUUGCCUUUGUGGCUCUCUGUGACCUACGAAUUAGCCUUAAGUCUUCAACACUCUCCUCUUCCUUCUUAGGAGAAAAACGACCUAUUGUGAACAAUGGUUCCUCCAAUUCUUGAUCAGAGCUUUCAGAGGGUCGCAUAGAGGCUUUCGCACUCUUGAAAUCCUCUGAAUCACCCGAUUCAGUUUCAGAUUCAGACUCAGAACCUUCAUCAGUGGGUGUGGGCUGUUGUGGUUGCUUUUGACUAUCCUCAGUCUCAUCACCGUCAUCAGGAUAACAUUGGAAAAUUCCCACAUUCUCCCCCACUUUGCAUUGUACUCAACACUUCUCGUGAGCUUAAUUGUCUUAGAGUCAGUCAUCAUUAUUCUGUAAGACCCUUUCUGAUAACCUAGAAAGAUACCAUGCAAUCCACGCUUGUCUAACUUGGAGUUUUGUGGUGAGCGAACCCACAUGUCAGAACCAAAAUCUUCAUGUGUUUGAUGUAUGGCUUCUUGCCAAACAUCUUCUCAUAGGGGGUACAACCAAUCGCUGAAGAUAAUCUGCGAUUGUAACUGUAAACAAAACACGAGAGAGAUUCGGCCCAAUAACUCUCUGGAAGAUUGGCAUCAUGCAGCAAGGUUUUUAGACCUUGAAGCAAUGUCUGAUUUGCCCGUUCCGCAAGUCCAUUCUGCCAUGGCGAGCGAGGACUAGACAAAUCGUGUUGAAUUCCUUUCUCAGUCAGAAAAGCUUCAAACUGCUGAGAAGUGAAUUCCCCGCGAUCACUGAAAAGAGUCUUUAUCUUCUUACCAUGCACAUUUUCCAACCAAGCACAGAAUUCCUUGAACCUAGGAAAAGCCUCCGAUUUCUGCUUGAGAUUGUACACAAAAAUAUAUCUAGAAAAUGCAUCAAUGAGAACCAUGAAGUAUCUAUUUCCACCCAAAGAGGGCGCUAGUGGACCAACCAAAUCAGCAUGAACAACCUGGUAUGGUUCUGUAGCUUUCCUACUAGACACCUUACCUUUCGCAGCCAUUUUCACCUUGUUUGCUGCGCAUGCUUUGCACUUCAUGUGGUACCUGCAGGGUUUAAUAGUCAUACCUUCAACCAAGGCAGGCAUUUUAGAUACUGCCUCAAAAUGCAAAUGACCAAAUUUGCGAUGAAAAUCGUGAAUACAUUCUGCAUGCAAACUUUUGUUAGAACCUGCAAUGCAACAAGUGUCAUCCUGCACCACAUCAUCAUAAUACAAAACAAACAAAUGAUCAACAUAUUCUGCAUGCAAUACAUAAUCAUUUUUCUUUGUGAUGAUGCACUUCUUGUUCUUGAAGGAAACGUCAAUGUUCCGCUCAUUCAGCUGUCCAACGCUGAGCAGAUUAUGUUUGGCGUCUGGCACGUAAAGCACAUUCUGUAUCGAUAAGUCCAAACUGUGAAGAACAACAGUUCCGUAGCCUUUACUGGGAAUAGUGUGGUCAUCCGCCUGGUGAAUCGCACCUUCCUGCGGUGUAAAAGACACAAACAGUUUCUUAUCGUUGCACAUGUGGUGGGUGGCCGCUGAAUCAACAACGAAGAAAGAUCUAGACGUCUUCUGGACCUCUGCAACCUUUGGAGUGAAGCGUGAAACCAUAGCCUUGUGCUGCGUUGUCCUAGACACCGGACCUUUGCCUUUGCCUCGGCCUUUUCCGCGCGAUGAGCUUUCGCUGCGCUGCUCUGUCUUGGCCCUGGGAUGUCUGCAUUCACUCUUCAUAUGGCCUAGACGUCCACGCGAGUAGCAUUUGACUGCCUUCAAAGCUUUGGCGCCAUCUGGUGGUUCCACUGCACUAUGGGAUGACGUCUGUGAAGACUCUCCUUGCCCAUGCAGCUAGCACCCCGGCGAUCUGCUUCAUUUAAAAUCACGGCAGUAACAAAGUCCACUGUCAGCUGAGCAGUUGGUUGCACAGCAAUCUGGGUUGCAACAGACUCCCAACCUGAACCCAAAGAUUGUAGUAUCAUGAAAGAAUACACAGCCUCUGGAAAGUUGAGUCCUCUCUGUUGCAGCUCAUGUCUCAGAUUUUGCAUCUCCAUCAGAUGUAAACGCACAUCUCCACCUUCAGCAAGAGCCAUAUUAUGCAGCUUGUUAAAGUAAAACAUAGUUGAUCCAGCUUCUGUCCUUAAGUGAGCCUCUCUCAGAGCGUCCCAAAUUUCUCUGGCUGAGGUCUUAUCACGCAAUAGACAGAGCUCUUCUGGGGAUACUAUCAAUGUAAGAGUUCCCUUGCUUUGGAAUCCUUAGCUUCCCAUGCAUCUGUAACUGGAACUGGGGGUUUCUGUAAUCACCUCAAACAAACCCUCUUUCCGCAGAAUUGCCUCUGCAUACUGAACCCAGUCGCUGUAAUUUUUCUUGUUGAGCUUAGGAAUCCUACAAGCAUCCUGAAGGGCCAUCAUGACUCUGGCAUUAGCCUUCAGCGUCAUAUGCUGCUUUAAAUCUUGCUGCGUCACUGCUGCAGCUGCUUCAUUACAAAGGCACACUUAAAAGUUACUUUCGAUUUCCCCAGCAUAGUGACUUGUGCCUGGGAGCCUUUUGCCUAUUCCCGCAAAACCGGCUUUAAAAGUUCAAAGUCCAGCCAUAAAGCCAUUAUCUUGAAGCUGGCAGGCUGCCCGGAGCAGUAGCACAUACCUCAUCAAUCACUUCGACGCGCAGAGCAGAUUCCUUUCCGAUCUGUCCUCCCUCUGCAUUCCGAUCCUUUGCCGGCACUCCGAUUCGACCUCUGGAGCCCAUAACCACGUGUUGAUUUAAGCAGAGUCU